rnacentral:lncRNA from 1 species
AUGGUCAAAAGAAAUCGCCUCUUUUUUCCUCCUAGCAAGAGGUUCCUGUUGUCUUGUCGGAUGCAUGCUGAAGUUCACUGGCAAACUGUGGAUGAGUUGAGAUGGAAAGAGUACAUUCUGUUGCCUGGCUUCUGGGUUUAUUCCAUAUUAAUAUGGUGACGCCUUCACUAAAGUUCUCCUCUGAUUGUUUCUUGUAGCUUAGAAGUGACCCUGUAUUCUCAAAAGCCCUGCCAUCUGACCAUAAGCUCUGGCAGGCCCAAACAACUGUAAAAGGGUCUUUAAUCUGAUAAUCAGCUUAACUGGGUUCAAAGAGUUUCAUAAGCAGAAAGUUGGUAAACCUAGUGAUAUGAAUGUUUUGGGUCAUGGCAACUCCAGCUAGUUGUCCCUGAAGGUGUAGAGGGUUUGUAACUUUCAGUGGAGACACUACCAACACCAAUGGAUCUUUUGAAGUAACAUAGCUUCAUUUCUCUGGCACUUUGGUUAAGUGGAUUUUCCUGGUGUGUGAGGUACUAAAACUUAAAAUAUUUUUUUAAACAAAAAUCUUUCUGAAAUAUGUUAUGCUCUUGCCUGCUUUGGAAACACAAAAUAGCGACUAUGAACUUUGAUCUUUGAAGGUGUCUGUGACGUUCGUCGAGCUAGAAGUUAGUGAGUGGAUGGAAUAUGAUGGUAUGGCAUGCCUGACUGACUUCUCUGUAGGUGAGAGGGAAAGAACUGUUGGAUAGGCAUGGGUUUCCUUUCUGGAAAGAAGAAAAACUUUAAAGUAUUAUAUGAAUAUGUACUAUAGAUAAUUACACAACUGAAUCUUUUCUUGGUAACUUCAGAUCGUUAUGAAUGUCAGUUAUUGUGAGAUACUCAAUGCAUCCUUGCAAAUGAUCUGUUGAUGGGGUGGGACAUGAGGGUGAAGAGGAUUAGAAUCCUAAUCCUGGAGAUAUCCUGGAAUUUGCCUCCUCAACACGAUCACUGAUAUUAACUUGCUUUGGGAUUAUUUGCCUGUUUCUUAUAAAGGUGGUGUGAAGGAUGUGUAGCUGCAUGACUUCCAGGUCGANNNNNNNNNNNNNNNNNNNNNNNNNNNNNNNNNNNNNNNNNNGAGAGAGAGAGAGAGAGAGAG